CGUGUAAUAUGAUAUUAUUAUAUUAUAUAGGCAGGUACAUAAUUGUAUAUUAUAUUUGUAGUUUGUACAGUUUUCGUGUUCGUUUCAUACGUCCGCGUGGACACGAUGAUUAUCACGUCAUAUUAUAUUGCAUUUGACAAGCAUUUUCCUAAGCCGACCAACAACAAUUAUUUUGGGUCUUAUGCGAUACAUUGAUGGCCAUCGUUCGGAAGAUGCACUCUAUAAAACUGUGAAUUCCGGUCGAAUAUAAUCGUUUUCGGUGACAUAAACAUUUGACGUUCGAAAUUGAAUUUAUCAACCAUCACGAGGCGGAAUGUCAUCGCUCCUGCACUUCACUUCAUCCAGUGUCCGUCAACGUGUUAAACAACCCCUAUCCCUGCAGCCACGAGGCGAAAGAGAGAGGGUUUUUUUGUGGUCGACAAUCGUGAUAUGAUUUGUUUUUCCGUAACGUUUUUAAUAAUUUACAAUCAUAAACUUCCAUAACCUA
rnacentral:lncRNA from 1 species